rnacentral:lncRNA from 1 species
GUUACAUCAUAAAAAGCUAACGGCUCCCUCUAAGCCCGGGUUCAAAGUCUCCCCCCCCUCCUCCCGGCACACACAUACCCGGGAAGAAAGCUGGAGCUGUCGCUCCUCUGCCAGCCCUCGUUGUGCCUUCCCUUUGUGCGAGCCCCCGCUAGCUAAGCAUGCAGCGAAGGAGGGAGGAUGCAAAGGCGGCCCGGGGGGAAUAAGCGCUCCCGCAUGCAGCCAGCCCUGAGAUAAAGCUACGGUUUGUCACCGUCCUCGGCAGCUAAAGAUCUCCGCACGCUCGUAGUCUGUGCAGCUCCUCAGUCAACUGAAACCACUCGUUCAAGACAGCAACAAUCCAGAUAUACUAGCAAGUCAUAAAACUGAACAAAAGCCGACAAACCUUAGAGCACCAUCGCUAUAUGGCCCAGACAAAUUACGACCGUCUAGGUAAUAUUUAAAUAGAUUCCUAAAGUAAUUGCAGGGGGUUUAGGCAACUAUUCCUGUUGUAAAAGUUCUCGAAGACAUAAAGUAGAACCUGAGGAUAAACAGUCACAAAAAGAGGUAAAAUUAAAAGGAUUCAUUCCACGUCUUUUAUUCUUCUAUGAGAACAUAAACAUCGUCUUUUUCACGCACAGCAGCAUUACAGUAUUAAUUUAUUCCGAUUUAAGGGGGAACCGUUGUGUGCUUAUCCCGUGUUACCAACGGUAACGCUAUUAAUCGACCAACAACAACAAAAAAAUCACUAAUUCCACAUCUUUAAGCAAAACUACGUUACGUAAAUAUCUACAACCAGAAAGAGAGAGAGAAAUUCAGAGCUUGAAAGAGCGAAGCGGGCCCGGGAAAGGCUGCAGGAACCGAGGAGGCUCACACAUGGCCCUCAGCGUUAGCGUGGCUCUCUUCCGCUCCCCCCGCAGCCCCGAAGCAGCUAUUAAGAGUUUAAGGACAUACUGAGAACGUCUAAAAUCGUUAAUCCGUACAGGUGCGGAUGACUACAGCCUAGGAAAAUGAUACUGGCUCUUUAAACCAUCAAGAUGUGUUUAUAGGUUCAUCAAGAGAAAUUAAAGUUGGCUGUGAGCUCCCGAAUCCUAUUCUCUCUGUUCAUUUUCUUCAGUUUCAUUCUGCGGUUCUGAAACCAG